rnacentral:rRNA from 1 species
UACAUAUGGGGCAAGCGUUGUUCGGAAUUACUGGGCGUAAAGGGUGCGUAGGCGGUUGUUUAAGUCUGUUGUGAAAUCCCCGGGCUCAACCUGGGAAUGGCAAUGGAUACUGGGCAGCUAGAGUGUGUCAGAGGAUGGUGGAAUUCCCGGUGUAGCGGUGAAAUGCGUAGAGAUCGGGGGGAACAUCAGUGGCGAAGGCGGCCAUCUGGGACAACACUGACGCUGAAGCACGAAAGCGUGGGGAGCAAACAGG